rnacentral:SRP_RNA from 1 species
GCCAGGCGUGGUGGCGUGUGCCUGUAAUCCCAGCUACUUGGGAGGCUGAGGCUGGAGAAUCGCUUGAACUCAGGAGGCGGGGGUUGCAGUGAGCUGAGAUCGUGCCACUGCACUCCAGCCUGGGGGAUAGAGCGAGACUCUGCCUCCA